rnacentral:pre_miRNA from 1 species
AUUAUACCCACUCCGUCCCAAAAUUCUUGUCUUAGUUUUGUCUAGAUACGGAUGUAUCUAUUCACAUUUUAGUGUUAGAUACAUCAUCCGUACCUAGACAAAUCUAAGGCAAUAAUUUUGGGACCGACGUAAUAC